AUACGAAUUGAGAUAAUAAAAAGUGUGUAUUGAUUAAAGAAAGAUUAUUGAGAAUCCGAGAGGACCAGAAAAUUAAAGUAAUAAAAUUUAUUGAGUAGAGUUCUUUUUGUAUUAUGAUUUAUAAAGUGAAUAAUAAAAUUAUUUUUCCCGAAAAUCCUAGAGCUACUAUCUAAGGGAUGAUUGUUGCAGAAAUCAUUUGAAUUUGAUAGUAGAAGUGAAAUGUUUUUCGAAAGGGUUGGUAGCUGGUUAGGGGGAAAAUACAUUUCAGUGUAGAGGUGGUCAAGGUUGAAAAUAUUAUUAUAAUCGAUUUUCCAUUAUUAAGAUUUUCUGGGAUAAGCUAGGAAAUACAAUUAAAUAAAAAAGUAAGUAAGUAGGAUUAGAAGUGUCUACCUUAUAAAAAGUUAGUAACAAGGUGUUUUUUAUCAAACGUUUAUUUAGUACCCUCUGUUUUUUAUUAAUAUUAUAAGAUGCAUAAGUAUAAAAUUAGUAGCUGGCAUUUAACUUGGUGAAUUAAUUAAUAAGCUAUUACUAAUAAUAAAUUUGUUAUUAGUUAUCUAGUAAAAUAAGUUAAUUAUAAUACUCUUCAAAGGAACUCGACAAAUAUUCUCUUCGCCUGUUUAACAAAAACAUGGCUUUUUGUUUAGUCUAAGAUCAAAAGUCGGACCUGCCCAGUGAGAUAUUAAACGGUUGCGACGAGAGUUGUACUAAGGUAGCGCGAUAAUUUGUCUUUUUAUUGGGGAAUGGGAUGAAGGGUUUGACGAAGAGUGAUUGUCUCUGAAGAGAAAAGUGAAGUUUCCUUUUAAAUGAAAAGGUUUAAGUGAUAUUAAAAGACGAGAAGACCCUAUCGAGCUUGAUUAAACAAAGAAUUAAUUAUCAAAAGAAAUAUUAUGUUAGUAGAUUGAGUAAAAUUCUAUUGUUAAAGUUUAGUUGGGGUAAGCUGGUUUAAAAACAAUUAAGCCAAAACGGGUGAAGAUCCUUUUUGAAAGAAAAUAGCAAAAGCUACCGUAGGGAUAACAGCGUAAUUUUUCUUGAGAGGCCUUAUUUAGGGAAAAGUUUGCGACCUCGAUGUUGGAUUAGAAAAACUCUUCGGUGUAGCCGCUGAAGAAUGUAAGACUGUUCGUCUAUUAAUUUUCUACAUGAUCUGAGUUCAGACCGGCGCGAGCUAGGUCGGUUUCUAUCUUUAUUUAUUACUACCACUGUACGAAAGGAUCCGGUUGUAGAGUUUUAUUCUAGAAUUUAGCUAAUUUAAUUAGUUUGCCUCAAUUUGCGCCUGUGUUUUUUGGUUUGGUGUUUAUAAUAAUGUGAUUAGACUUUGUUUCUAAGUUGUGUUUAAGUUGAUGAAGUUGUAAACGGUCUUAUAAUUUUUAAAUAGAU
rnacentral:rRNA from 1 species